rnacentral:rRNA from 1 species
ACUCAAAUGAAUUGACGGGGACCCGCACAACCGGUGGAGCGUGUGGUUCAAUUCGAGACAAAACGAAAAACCUCACCAGGGUUUGACAUGUAACCGUUUAUUCUUUCAGAAAUGAGAGGAAAUCCGUAAGGAUGGUUACACAGGUGCUGCAUGGCUGUCAUCAGUUCGUGCCGUGAGGUGUUCCCUUAAGUGGGGAAACGAACGCAACCCGCGUCCAAUGUUGAAUUAUUCAUUGGAGACGGUCCCAACUUUUGUUGGGAAGGAAGGAGCGGAAGAUGUCAAGUCAGCACGGCCCUUAUACCCUGGGCUACACACACACUACAAUGGCGAAAAACAAUGAGCAGCAAGCCGGCAACGGCAAGCGAAUCUCUCAAAUUUCGCCUCAGUUCAGAUUGGGGUCUGCAACUCGACCCCAUGAAGUCGGAAUCGGUAGUAAUCGCGGAUCAGAAUGCCGCGGUGAAUACGUUCUCGGGUCUUGCACACACCGCCCGU